GACGAACGCUGGCGGCGUGCUUAACACAUGCAAGUCGAACGGAAAGGCCCUGCUUUUGUGGGGUGCUCGAGUUGCGAACGGGUGAUUAACACGUUAGUAACCUGCCCUUGACUUUGGGAUAACUUCAGGAAACUUGGGCUAAUACCGGAUAGGAGCUCCUGCUGCAUGGUGGGGGUUGGAAAGUUUCGGCGGUUGGGGAUGGACUCGCGGCUUAUCAGCUUGUUGGUGGGGUAGUGGCUUACCAAGGCUUUGACGGGUAGCCGGCCUGAGAGGGUGACCGGCCACAUUGGGACUGAGAUACGGCACAGACUCCUACGGGAGGCAGCAGUGGGGAAGAGUGCACAAUGGGCGGAAGCAUGAUGCAGCAAAGCAGCGUGCGGGAUGACGGCCUUCGGGUUGUAAACCGCUUUCGCCUGUGACGAAGCGUGAGUGACGGUAAUGGGUAAAGAAGCACCGGCUAACUACGUG
rnacentral:rRNA from 1 species